rnacentral:misc_RNA from 1 species
UCUCCGUUGGUGAACCUGCGGAGGGAUCAUUACUGAGUGAGGGCCUUCGGGCUCGACCUCCAACCCUUUGUGAACACAACUUGUUGCUUCGGGGGCGACCCUGCCGUUCGCGGCGUGGGGCCCCCGUGGUCAAUCAAACACUGCAUUCUCUGCGUCGGAGUAUUAGUAAAUCUAAUCAAAACUUUCAACAACGGAUCUCUUGGUUCUGGCAUCGAUGAAGAACGGCAGC